rnacentral:lncRNA from 1 species
GAAAAGGAACAAGUCCGUAGCAUUAAAAUCCAGAUAUGAAAGACGCAAACCUGACAGAACCAAAGCUCUCCAGGCAGAAACUGAAGAUACUGAUGACUCUGAACCAGAAGAUUCUGAUGAUGAAGAAGAAUUGUCCCUCCUGACCAGAAGAGUUAAACAACUCUGGAAAAAGAGGAACAACAACUUCAGAAGAUCAAGACCCAGAGGGGAUC